UACGUAGGGUGCGAGCGUUAAUCGGAAUUACUGGGCGUAAAGCGUGCGUAGGCGGUUGGUUAAGUCUGAUGUGAAAGCCCCGGGCUCAACUUGGGAAUGGCAUUGGAAACUGGCUGGCUAGAGUGUGGCAGAGGGGGGUGGAAUUCCGCGUGUAGCAGUGAAAUGCGUAGAGAUGCGGAGGAACACCGAUGGCGAAGGCAGCCCCCUGGGCUGACACUGACGCUCAGGCACGAAAGCGUGGGGAGCAAACAGG
rnacentral:rRNA from 1 species